GGAUAGCUCAGUCGAUAAAGCACGAGACUCUUAAUCUCAGGGUUGUGGGUUCGAGCUUCCUGUUGGGCG